GACGAACGCUGGCGGCGUGCCUAAUACAUGCAAGUCGAGCGCAGGAAGCCGUCAGAACCCUUCGGGGGGACGACGGUGGAAUGAGCGGCGGACGGGUGAGUAACACGUAAAGAACCUGCCCAUAGGUCUGGGAUAACCACGAGAAAUCGGGGCUAAUACCGGAUGUGUCAUCGGACCGCAUGGUCCGCUGAUGAAAGGCGCUACGGCGUCGCCCAUGGAUGGCUUUGCGGUGCAUUAGCUAGUUGGUGGGGUAACGGCCCACCAAGGCGACGAUGCAUAGCCGACCUGAGAGGGUGAUCGGCCACACUGGGACUGAGACACGGCCCAGACUCCUACGGGAGGCAGCAGUAGGGAAUCUUCCACAAUGGACGAAAGUCUGAUGGAGCAACGCCGCGUGAACGAUGAAGGCUUUCGGGUCGUAAAGUUCUGUUGUAAGGGAAGAACAAGUGCCGCAGGCAAUGGCGGCACCUUGACGGUACCUUGCGAGAAAGCCACGGCUAACUACGUGCCAGCAGCCGCCGUAA
rnacentral:rRNA from 1 species